CCCGCUGAACUUAAGCAUAUUAUUAAGCGGAGGAAAAGAAACCAACAGGGAUUCCCCUAGUAACGGCGAGUGAAGCGGGAAGAGCUCAAAUUUAAAAUCUGGUCGGCUAGCGCCGGUCCCGAAUUGUAGUUUGAUGAGGCAUGCUCUGCGGCGGCCCGGGUCUAAAUCCCUUGGAAAGGGGUAUCAUAGAGGGUGACAAUCCCGUCUAUGACUCGAGAGAGCCUGUCGUGAUGUGAGCGGUCUUCAAAGAGUCGGGUUGUUUGGGAGUGCAGCCCAAAGUGGGUGGUAAAUUCCAUCAAAGGCUAAAUAUUCACGAGAGACCGAUAGCGAACAAGUACCGUGAGGGAAAGUUGAAAAGAACUCUGGAGAGAGAGUCAAAUAGUACGUGAAAUUGCUAACAGGGAAACGUUGGGCACCAGUACACGCCAGAGUCAAAUCAACCUGUCAGUCUGGGCCACUUUGGAUGCGGUAGCCGUAAGGUACCGUAGUCAAGGGUAGGCUUUUAUUGCUGGGUGCACUUUGGCUUUGUGCGGGUUAACAUCGGUUUCGACCGCCACAUAACGGCCGGGGGAAGGUACGUUUGGCGCAAGUCAAACAACUUAUUAGCCCCUGGUGCCGCGCGGCGACCGAGACCGAGGAUUCGCGGUCCGCGCCUUUGGCAGGGCCCUCCUGCGGCAACUCGGGCGCCGAUUACUGACAGCUUGCUGACAGUAGUCGAGGCUUGCUUGAAUUGAGCGUAGGAUGUGGUCACUAGCGGACUACGGACGUUGACGAAAUGGUGUUCAACGACCCGUCUUGAAACACGG
rnacentral:rRNA from 1 species